UGCCAGCCGCCGCGGUAAUACAGAGAGUGCAAACGUUGUUCGGAAUUAUUGGGCGUAAAGCGCGUGUAGGCGGUUCGUUAAGUCUGAUGUGAAAGCCCGGGGCUCAACCCCGGAAGUGCAUUGGAAACUGGCGAACUUGAGUACGGGAGAGGAAAGUGGAAUUCCGAGUGUAGGGGUGAAAUCCGUAGAUAUUCGGAGGAACACCAGUGGCGAAGGCGGCUUUCUGGACCGAUACUGACGCUGAAGCACGAAGGCUAGGGGAGCAAACAGGAUUAGAUA
rnacentral:rRNA from 1 species